rnacentral:lncRNA from 1 species
UUGCAAAGUCAUAGUUGUUUUGAAUGAUUCUAGAAAUUAUGAAAAAAUAGAAGAUAUUAUGUUUUAGAAAAUUUUAUGAGUUUGGUAGUAGAUCUAUAGUUCAAAUUUUGAGGACUUAUGUAAAUAGUUGUUUGAAGUGUAUGUUAUAAGUUUGAGCUUGAUCAAAUGGUUGAAUUGAAGAAUAUUGAAUUUCAAAUAGGUUGAGGUCUUGGAAAUUGGACUUUGAGGGGCAAUUAGGGCUUCUAAGUUCUUUACCAAUCUAUUGGUUGGAUUGGAGUGAAAUUUAUAUAUGAAGAUAAUAGACUUGAUUUGAUACAUAAAUAUAAAAUUUUAGAACAAUUGAAUAGUUUAAAAAUGAGAUAUUGGUACUAGAAGUUUAACAUUCAGAUUGGAAUAGAAGGUUGACCAAUAUCCGAGUGGAUUUUAGGAUUUUUCUUUCAUGUGAUAAAUAUGAUUAUGGGUGUUAAAUACUAAUUUAUUUUUUCAAAAGUAAAUAAAAUUUUAAAAAAGAUCAAUUAUUUAGUUGAUAGAUAUUGAGGUUUUUAAUUAUACUAGGAUUAGGUUGAGUUGGUUAGGUUUUGAUUAGGAUUUGAUUUAAGAUUAGGAUUGGAUUGGGAUUUAGGAUUUGAUUUAGGAUUUUUUUAGAGUUUAUGAUUUAAUAUUUCCUUAGAAUUUAGGAUUUAGGAUUUGCUAAGAGUUUAAGAUUUGACCUAGGAUUUCAAUUAGAAUUAAAUUAGAAUUUGUUGAGAUUUAUUUAAGAUAUAUUUAUAAUUAUUCUA